rnacentral:rRNA from 1 species
GAUGAACGCUAGCUACAGGCUUAACACAUGCAAGUCGCGGGGCAGCGGGAGUGAAGCUUGCUUCACUUGUCGGCGACCGGCGCACGGGUGAGUAACGCGUAUCCAACCUUCCCAUAUCCACGGGAUAGCCUGCCGAAAGGCAGAUUAAUACCGUAUGUCGUCAUCAGUUGGCAUCAAAUUUUGACGAAAGGUUUAGCGGAUAUGGAUGGGGAUGCGUAACCGNUUAGGUAGUCGGCGGGGUAACGGCCCACCGAGCCCUCGAUCGGUAGGGGUUCUGGAGAGGAAGGUCCCCCCACAUUGGAACUGAGACACGGUCCAAACUCCUACGGGAGGCAGCAGUGAGGAAUAUUGGUCAAUGGACGCAAGUCUGAACCAGCCAAGUAGCGUGCAGGAUGACGGCCCUAUGGGUUGUAAACUGCUUUAUAAGGGAUAAAGUGAGCCUCGUGAGGCUUUUUGCAUGUAUCUUAUGAAUAAGGACCGGCUAAUUCCGUGCCAGCAGCC